rnacentral:rRNA from 1 species
GACGAACGUUGGCGGCGUGCUUAAUACAUGCAAGUCAACUGAAGCAGUGGUAGCAAUAUCGCUGUGGAGGUGGCGCACGGGUGAGUAACACGUAGGUAAUCUGCCUUCAGGUCUGGCAUAACUCCGGGAAACCGGGGCUAAUAGCAGAUGAUGCAGCGGCUCGACAUCGAGACAGUUGUUAAAGCUAUGGCGCCUGAAGAUGAGCCUGCGUCUGAUUAGCUAGUUGGCGGGGUAACGGCCCACCAAGGCAACGUUCAGUAGCUGGUCUGAGAGGAUGAUCAGCCACACUGGAACUGAGACACGGUCCAGACUCCUACGGGAGGCAGCAGUAAGGAAUAUUGCUCAAUGGGAGAAAUCCCGAAGCAGCAACGCCGCGUGAGGGACGAAGGGCUUUUGCUUGUAAACCUCUGUAGUGAGAGAAAAAAAUCCCAAUCUUUGGGACAUGAUGGUAUCUCAAAAGUAAGCCCCGGCUAACUACGUG